UACAGAGGGGGCAAGCGUUGUUCGGAAUUACUGGGCGUAAAGGGCGCGUAGGCGGCCUUCUAAGUCGAACGUGAAAUCCCUGGGCUCAACCCAGGAACUGCGUCCGAUACUGGAAGGCUCGAAUCCGGGAGAGGGAUGUGGAAUUCCAGGUGUAGCGGUGAAAUGCGUAGAUAUCUGGAGGAACACCGGUGGCGAAGGCGGCAUCCUGGACCGGUAUUGACGCUGAGGCGCGAAAGCCAGGGGAGCAAACGGG
rnacentral:rRNA from 1 species